CACCUGUAUAAGAUCCAGGAAAACAAAUGGCAAGAGUUGUGGAAUCAGGGAGAGAAAGGGAAGUCACCUGUAUAAGAUCCAGGAAAACAAAUGGCAAGAGUUGUGGAAUCAGGGAGAGAAAGGGAAGUCACCUGUAUAAGAUCCAGGAAAACAAAUGGCAAGAGUUGUGGAAUCAGGGAGAGAAAGGGAAGUCACCUGUAUAAGAUCCAGGAAAACAAAUGGCAAGAGUUGUGGAAUCAGGGAGAGAAAGGGAAGUCACCUGUAUAAGAUCCAGGAAAAGUUGGUGGCAGGGAGGUCCUCAGGUCGAAGGGAGGAAAGUGUAGUCACAAGGCUGAGACUGUUGACAGUUGAAAACAUGUUCAGUUUCAGUGCAAGGAAUAUGUGAGGAAAAGGGAUGGAUUGUUAUUAGAUUUGAGGAAUAAUGGGGUUAAAUGAACUGGGGAAAUCUUCAGGUGCUGUAGUAUUUAAUUAUGUAUUUCGUUUCAUUAGGGAGAUGAGAUUAUUGGGUAUGAUUUAGACCUUCACUGUCUCUGGUCCAAACUCCAGUCAAUUUGGUGGCGGUAAUGCACCUGAAAGUUGGUUGCCAACCGCCAUAUAAAAUCCGCAGGAGUAGAGCGCUCGUCAAAGGAGUCAGCUCAUGGGUGACGACUGAUGGUCAUGUUGAAUACAUGAAGAGAAUUCCUGGUGCCCGGUGUCUGACCCGCUGGGUGAAUGGGGAAAAAGAAGGAAGUCUUUCGGUCCUGUUGUUUUUUUUAAUAAAGAGCAAAUACCUACGCAUGUGAAGCUUGGUUACGUAAGAUACGCCGUAAGAACUUUCGUCCAAAAACCACUGCCGUUUAAGAAUUGUAAAGGAUUUUGCCAUGUUUCAAGUGUGUGCAGACUAACAGAGUAUAGUGAAGAACGGUGUGCAGAAGGAGAACAGUAUUGCAAUUGUGGUAGGGAUCAUGUUCCUGGAGUGCCAUGUAAGGGUGAAGGAAAUUGAGGUGGCAAGUGUUAAAGCGGUCAAAUCGAAUCGCUUAUGCGGAGGCGAUUAAAAUAAUUGAGGAAACAAGUGAUGCUAGUGAAGAUAUGGUAGUGGAAACACCACAGCCUUAAGUAAAUGUUUGCUGUCAGACAGAAUAAACGCUGUGUGUCUUUUAAAAAGGUGAUUUUUGUUUUUUUGAGUUCAUUGCCACAGUUACAAAUUGUAGAGCACAAGUCAUAAAUAACAAAAAAACAACAACUGGACAUUAUUGUGGCUGUGGCAGAAAAGUUUUUGGGACUCAAGGAUUUUACAUCUGAAGACUUGCAAGAGGUACUGGAGCGGGAAGACCUGCCCUCCCAGGUUCCCAUUGAGCCUGUGUAGGGAUCAGAUCUGUUUCAUUAAUUUAUUUUUAACAGAAAAGUUAUAUUUUUUUAAUUGGGGGGGGGAAUCCUGUUUUCCAUCCCGUGUCGUUGUUGUCGGUAUGCACAUUAAAUUGUGUGGUCGCCAAGAUGCCGUAGAAACGUUUCGGGCAGGACAGAGAAAGGAUUAAGCAAUUUUGUGACAGCCAGGAAGAUACAACUUGGAAUGUUAGCUAAGAUGCUUAACUUAUCAUGAAGUUAGCAUGCCAAUAGGACGAACUCCACAACAACUGAACAUAGUUGCUUGCACCACCUGGAUAACUAGCAUUAGCCGGCUAACGUUACUGCUGACUGGUAGCAAGCUAGCAGGCUGGCUAGCUAGCCCUACCUGGCUACUGGCUAUAGUCAUGUUAGCUAGUAGUAGCUAGUGGAAGUAAGUUAGUCCCUCGACCAGCUACAAGAAGAGGUACCUGCUGCAGAAAGGUGAGAUUUCUACAGUACUUUCUGUAGCUAAUUUAGCUAGAUAGUCUGUCCGGCUGGUGCUUAUUGACUGAGUAGGCUAAUAAUGAACUGCAGUUAUUGUGAAUGGUUACCCAUCUGGCCCUUUGCAUAGCUAUUUCUUACACAUUCAAUACAACUAUAUCCAUUUAAGCUACAGUCAAUGCUGAUAUUUGUGUGUGUGUGUGGGGGGGUGUCAGAACGUGCCUGCAAAAGGACAGUCCGCAUCUGAACAGAUCAUCAACUUCAUCCAGUUACAUCAGCCAAUACAGUAAGUUACAAUCGGGGUCUGCCCUGACAGUCCUGAAGAACGACGGAGAGGACUACAUCUUCACCACGGCAAACCGAUCCCUCUGUCCAGACCUUCAGUUCUGCUACCGGUACAAGAAAUUCACGACCUACUUCCAUUGACUGUUCACUCGUCUAGAGUGUUGGGCAUUGAGCUGCCAACCUGAGGGAGUGACACCAAUAAGGCAGCAUGCGGAUCCUUAAGGGUAAACUCUUCCAGAGGACGAAAGUGUUAAAUCUCCCUGCGCCUGAAGGCUUACUAUGAGGCACGGGUGACUGACAUUGUCCUUGGCCGCUGGGAAAUGUUCCAGCAACUUCCUCCUGACAACAUUGGAGAUGAGGGAUUUGAUGAGGGAGUUGCUGAAGACAACAGGAGAUGGAUACCCUUUCACUACCUGUGGUGUGGGAAAAGGAUACAUCAACACCCUGAAGAGAUGUUUGUGGUGUACUCACUCAUAACAUGUUUUUGAGUGAUUAAUGACUAUCAUCUUCAAGGUUGACAAGAAGCAAUCAGUUACAAGUCAAAAAGACAGAUUGAGGCCUUCAAUCGAACUGAGGACAGAGAAAUAUGUGUGAACCGGGUCAAGGCUUCUUGCAUGCAUAACUUUUAGAUUGCAUGUAUUCAAAAAUCUUUGGACGACGUACUUCCACAGGGCUGCCAUCUACAAAGUUCACUCAAAAAGGCUAUAGUUCUGAACCAAGUUAGAUUUUUAGUUUUAAUUCACAUUCUCAUCUCUUAAGCUUCAAUUGGUUAAUGGCUAAUUGCUCAGUUAUGACUUGGCUCAUGUAAAUUCUGUAGUUUCCCCUUUAAACAUCCUAAAGUCAACAUCCUCAUAGUGUUCACAUUUCUCAUGUAAAUGUUGUUGCUACAUAAAAAUAUUAAAUAAACAAUUUAUUUGGGAAAUA